rnacentral:rRNA from 1 species
AUACGUAGGGUGCAAGCGUUAAUCGGAAUUACUGGGCGUAAAGCGCGCGUAGGUGGCUAAUUAAGUCAAAUGUGAAAUCCCCGAGCUUAACUUGGGAAUUGCAUUCGAUACUGGUUAGCUAGAGUAUGGGAGAGGAUGGUAGAAUUCCAGGUGUAGCGGUGAAAUGCGUAGAGAUCUGGAGGAAUACCGAUGGCGAAGGCAGCCAUCUGGCCUAAUACUGACACUGAGGUGCGAAAGCAUGGGGAGCAAACAGGAUUAGAUACCCUGGUAGUCCAUGCCGUAAACGAUGUCUACUAGCCGUUGGGGCCCUUGAGGCUUUAGUGGCGCAGCUAACGCGAUAAGUAGACCGCCUGGGGAGUACGGUCGCAAGACUAAAACUCAAAUGAAUUGGCGGGG